rnacentral:rRNA from 1 species
GGUUAGCCGGCCUGAGAGGGUGACCGGCCACACUGGGACUGAGACACGGCCCAUACUCCUACGGGAGGCAGCAGUGGGGAAUAUUGCACAAUGGGCGCAAGCCUGAUGCAGCAACGCCGCGUGAGGGAUGACGGCCUUCGGGUUGUAAACCUCUUUUAGCAGGGAAGAAGCGUGAGUGACGGUACCUGCAGAAAAAGCGCCGGCUAACUACGUGCCAGCAGCCGCGGUAAUACGUAGGGCGCAAGCGUUAUCCGGAAUUAUUGGGCGUAAAGAGCUCGUAGGCGGUUUGUCGCGUCUGCUGUGAAAUCUGGGGGCUCAACCCUCAGCCUGCAGUGGGUACGGGCAGACUAGAGUGCGGUAGGGGAGAUUGGAAUUCCUGGUGUAGCGGUGGAAUGCGCAGAUAUCAGGAGGAACACCGAUGGCGAAGGCAGAUCUCUGGGCCGUAACUGACGCUGAGGAGCGAAAGGGUGGGGAGCAAACAGGCUUAGAUACCCUGGUAGUCCACCCCGUAAACGUUGGGAACUAGUUGUGGGGUCCAUUCCACGGAUUCCGUGACGCAGCUAACGCAUUAAGUUCCCCGCCUGGGGAGUACGGA